GUGCGGAACACGUGUGCAACCUGCCUUUAUCAGGGGGAUAGCCUUUCGAAAGGAAGAUUAAUACCCCAUAAUAUUUAGAAUGGCAUCAUUUUAAAUUGAAAACUGCGGUGGAUAAAGAUGGGCACGCGCAAGAUUAGAUAGUUGGUAGGGUAACGGCCUACCAAGUCUACGAUCUUUAGGGGGCCUGAGAGGGUGAUCCCCCACACUGGUACUGAGACACGGACCAGACUCCUACGGGAGGCAGCAGUGAGGAAUAUUGGACAAUGGGUGAGAGCCUGAUCCAGCCAUCCCGCGUGAAGGAUGACGGCCCUAUGGGUUGUAAACUUCUUUUGUAUAGGGAUAAACCUUUCUACGUGUAGAAAGCUGAAGGUACUAUACGAAUAAGCACCGGCUAACUCCGUGCCAGCAGCCGCGGUAAUACGGAGGGUGCAAGCGUUAUCCGGAUUUAUUGGGUUUAAAGGGUCCGUAGGCUGAUGUGUAAGUCAGUGGUGAAAUCUCACAGCUUAACUGUGAAACUGCCAUUGAUACUGCAUGUCUUGAGUGUUGUUGAAGUAGCUGGAAUAAGUAGUGUAGCGGUGAAAUGCAUAGAUAUUACUUAGAACACCAAUUGCGAA
rnacentral:rRNA from 1 species